UGCAGAGGGUGCAAGCGUUAAUCGGAAUUACUGGGCGUAAAGGGUGCGUAGGUGGUUUUAUAAGUUAGGUGUGAAAGCCCUGGGCUUAACCUGGGAAUUGCGCUUAAGACUGUAAAACUAGAGUACUGUAGAGGGAGGUGGAAUUUCCGGUGUAGCGGUGAAAUGCGUAGAUAUCGGAAGGAACACCAGUGGCGAAGGCGACUUCCUGGACAGAUACUGACACUGAGGCACGAAAGCGUGGGGAGCAAACAGG
rnacentral:rRNA from 1 species